rnacentral:rRNA from 1 species
UACGUAGGGGCAAGCGUUGUCCGGAAUCAUUGGGCGUAAAGAGCGUGUAGGCGGCUCGGUAAGUCCGCUGUAAAAGUCCAGGGCUCAACCCUGGAAAGCCGGUGGAAACUGUCGAGCUAGAGUCCGGAAGAGGCGAGUGGAAUUCCUGGUGUAGCGGUGAAAUGCGCAGAUAUCAGGAGGAACACCAAUGGCGAAGGCAGCACUCUGGGACGUGACUGACGCUGAGACGCGAAAGCGUGGGGAGCAAACAGG